AGUAAACGUUACCCUGAUUUCCGUGUCCAACUUUUGACCAUUCGUUUUAUUUGAAAAAAUUAUAAAAAAGAUAAGUCACGUAUAAAAUAUUAAUCAUGAUUUAUCAUCUAACAACAAUGAAAAUACUAAUUAUAAAAAAAAUUCAUAUAAGACGGACAGUCAAACGUUGGCACGGAAAUCCAGGGUUUGUCUUUUU
rnacentral:pre_miRNA from 1 species